rnacentral:lncRNA from 1 species
GUGUGUCUCUCUUUUUCUGUGUGUGUCUCUCUUUUUCUGUGUGUGUCUCUGUCUGUGUCUCUCUGUGUGUGUGUGUCUCUCUGUGCCUGUCUGCGUGUGUCUGUCUCUGUGCGUGUCUCUCUGUGUCUCUGUCUCUGUGUGUCUCUGUCUGUCUCUGUGCGUGUCUGUGUCUGUGUCUCUGUCUGUGUGUUUCUCUGUCUGUCUCUGUGUCUGUGUGUGCCUCUGUCUGUCUCUUGAGUGUGUCUGUGUGCCUGUGUGUGUGCCUCUGUGUGUGUGUGCCUCUGUCUGUGCCUGUGUGUGUCUCUGUGUGUCUGUCUGUGCCUGUGUGUGUCUCUGUCUCUGUAUGUGUCUCUGUGUGUGUGUCUGUCUGUGCGUGUCUGUCCUGUGUGUCUCUGUGUGUCUGUGUGUCUGUCUAUAUGUGUCUCUCUGUGCGUGUCUCUGUGUCUGUGCGUGUCUGUGUCUAUGUGUCUGUCUCUGUGCCUGUGUGUGUGUCUCUGUGUCUGUGUGUGCCUCUGUCUGUCUCUUGAGUGUGUCUGUCUUUGUGUGUCUCUGUGUGUCUGUCUGUGCCUGUGUGUGUGUCUCUGUGUCUCUGUGUGUGUGUGUCUCUCUCUGUCUGUCUCUGUGUGUGCAUUCCUGUGUGUCUCUCUUUGUCUGUCUCUUGAGUGUGUCUGUGUGUCUGUCUGUGCCUGUGUGUGCCUCUGUCUGUCUGCGUGUCUCUCUGUCUGUGUGUCUGUGUGUGUGUCUUCCCGGGGGGUGUUCCGCCACUCCUGGUGGGUUGGGCCGGCGAUGGGGAUAGAAGUGGAGACGAGCCCUCGGUGGGAGCAGGGGGGUUUAUGUGUAAGGGGGGUUGGGGGUGGGGAGGGGUCCCGUAGCGGUGGGGGGGUCCCGGUGGGGGGGCUCAGAAGGCCGGGUUGCCGAAGCCGAGCCGCUGCUGGGUGGCCUGGAUCUCCCGCAGCAAGGCAUCGUUCCUCAGGCCCAGCUGCAGGGGAGAGCGGGGAGGGGGGGUCAGGCAAGGCCAAGGGCACCCCAACACACACCCCCACCCCCGAGUAGGGGCUGCCCCCCACCGACCCCC